rnacentral:rRNA from 1 species
CCUACGGGGGGCUGCAGUGGGGAAUAUUGGACAAUGGGGGCAACCCUGACCCAGCAACGCCGCGUGAGGGAAGAAGGCCUUCGGGUUGUAAACCUCUGUCGCAGGGGACGAAGAAAAUGACGGUACCCUGUGAGGAAGCCCCGGCUAACUACGUGCCAGCAGCCGCGGUAAUACGUAGGGGGCGAGCGUUGUCCGGAAUUACUGGGCGUAAAGGGUGCGUAGGCGGCUAAUUAAGUUGGAUGUGAAAUCCCCGGGCUUAACUUGGGUGGUGCAUUCAAAACUGGUUAGCUAGAGUGCAGGAGAGGGAAGCGGAAUUCCUAGUGUAGCGGUGAAAUGCGUAGAUAUUAGGAGGAACACCAGUGGCGAAGGCGGCUUUCUGGACUGUAACUGACGCUGAGGCACGAAAGCGUGGGGAGCAAACAGGAUUAGAUACCACAGUAGUCUA